AGUCACUGACAUUAGAUACCCGCGUAGUCCAGGGUGUAAACGCUGCAGACUUGGUGUUGGAGGCCCUUUGGGGGCAUUCAGUGCCGGAGAGAAGUUGUUAAGUCUGCUACUUGGGAAGUACGGUCGCAAGGCUGAAACUUAAAGGAAUUGGCGGGGGAGCACCGCAACGGGAGGAGCGUGCGGUUUAAUUGGAUUCAACACCGUAAAACUCACCAGGGAAGACUGUUACAUGAAGGCCGAGAUGAAGACUCUGCUAGAUUUUCAG
rnacentral:rRNA from 1 species